GGCGGACGGGUGAGUAAUACUUAGGAAUCUGCCCAUUAGUGGGGACAACUCGAGGAAACUCGAGCUAAUACCGCAUACGCCCUACGGGGGAAAGCGGAGGACCUUUCGGGGCUUCGCGCUAAUGGAUGAGCCUAAGUCGGAUUAGCUUGUUGGUGAGGUAAAGGCUCACCAAGGCGACGAUCCGUAGCUGGUCUGAGAGGACGAUCAGCCACACUGGGACUGAGACACGGCCCAG
rnacentral:rRNA from 1 species